CCCUACCGUCCUUUGCAUCGCCGCAAGACACCCCAAACCCACCCCCUACCGUCCUUUGCAUCGUCGCAAGACACCCCAAACCCUUCCCCUUCUUAUGUUGUACUCAUUCUCGUCCGUCAGUCUUCUUUGCGUCCCAACCCAAACACCGCCACGCUAACCAUUUGCAUCCCAACUUUAUGUGCCCCAACACCCUAACCCAUUUGUCCAUACCCUAAUAUUCCUACAGUAGUUUAGGAAAAGGCAAAGGCGAAGCUUGAGGAGUGACAAUGAAGUGAAGUUGUGACAACGAAAUGAAGAAGGAACAAGAACGACAAUGAAGAGGAUGCUCAACUGACUCCUCUUUUAUGUCUUGGAGCUGGAGCAUGUGUUGAAAUAAUUGCUAUGUCUGCGACUUAUCCAAUGGAUAUGGUUCGAGGCAGGAUUAAUGUGCAGUGAUUCAGUGGGGUUGCACAAACACCACGUACGUGGAAGCACAAACUUACAAUGAAGACAUGAAGCUUACCUCAAACACAACAGCGACUAUGCCGGCGAGAUUGUACCUCAGGUGAAAUGUACCUCAGCAGACCACAAACACCACGUACUACUAGUCAAAUGUACCUCAGGUGACCACCAAUUCGCCAAUCCUUGCACCAGAAACCAAAAAAGGUCCUUAGCUUAACCAAGGGUUCCAGAAAUAGACCUAGCACGAAAGGGAGAACAACAGCCUUCGAUAGAACAACACGGGUAGACGAAGCGUACAUGUCACGGUCUUCAGUGCAAUGGAGAACAACAGCCUUCGAUGAUGUUUACAGUGCAAUGGAGAAGAGAGCGCGAAAGGGUUCACAGAGAAGAAGAAAGCGACGGAGAAGAAGGGAGCGCGAGCGAAAUAGGUCGAGUCAAAUACAAUUUAAAAUGUAAGUUUAACAUCGGUUUUCAAUAAAGCACCGAUGUUAACAAAUUGA